CGUGGGUGGUGGUGCAUGGCCGUUCUUAGUUGGUGGAGCGAUUUGUCUGGUUAAUUCCGAUAACGAACGAGACUCUGGCAUGCUAACUAGUUACGCGACCCCCGAGCGGUCGGCGUCCCCCAACUUCUUAGAGGGACAAGUGGCGUUCAGCCACCCGAGAUUGAGCAAUAACAGGUCUGUGAUGCCCUUAGAUGUCCGGGCUGCACGCGCGCUACACUGACUGGCUCAGCGUGUGCCUACCCUACGCCGGCAGGCGCGGGUAACCCGUUGAACCCCAUUCGUGAUGGGGAUCGGGGAUUGCAAUUAUUCCCCAUGAACGAGGAAUUCCCAGUAAGUGCGGGUCAUAAGCUUGCGUUGAUUAAGUCCCUGCCCUUUGUACACACC
rnacentral:rRNA from 1 species